rnacentral:rRNA from 1 species
UUAUUGGGUUUUUGUUUGGAGAGGGAGCCUGAGAGACGGCUACCAUAUCCAAGGAUAGCAGCAGGCGCGUAAAUUACCCACUGUGGACUCCACGAGGUAGUGACGAGAAAUAUCGAUGCGAAGCGUGUAUGCGUUUUGCUAUCGGAAUGAGAGCAAUGUAAAACCCUCAUCGAGGAUCAACUGGAGGGCAAGUCUGGUGCCAGCAGCCGCGGUAAUUCCAGCUCCAGAAGCAUAUGCUAAAGUUGUUGCAGUUAAAAAGCUCGUAGUUGAAUUUCUGGCAUGGGCGACCGGUGCUUUCCCUGAAUGGGGAUUGAUUGUCUGUGUUGCCUUGGCCAUCUUUUUCUUUUUUUUAUUGGUGAGAAAUCUUUCACUGUAAUCAAAGCAGAGUGUUCCAAGCAGGUCGUAUGACCGGUAUGUUUAUUAUGGGAUGAUAAGAUAGGACUUGGGUGCUAUUUUGUUGGUUUGCACGCCUGAGUAAUGGUUAAUAGGAACAGUUGGGGGUAUUCGUAUUUAGGAGCUAGAGGUGAAAUUCUUGGAUUUCCGAAAGACGAACUAGAGCGAAGGCAUUUACCAAGCAUGUUUCAUAAUCAAGAACGAGC